rnacentral:rRNA from 1 species
UUUGAUCCUGGCUCAGGACGAACGCUGGCGGCGUGCCUAAUACAUGCAAGUCGAACGGUUCUUUCUUUUGGAAGCUUGCUUCCGAUCGAGAGAAUAGUGGCGAACGGGUGAGUAACACGUGGGUAACCUGCCCAUAAGAGGGGGAUAACAUCCGGAAACGGGUGCUAAUACCGCAUAGUUUUUUUGAUCGCAUGAUCGAGAAAGGAAAGACGGCCUUUGUGCUGUCGCUUAUGGAUGGACCCGCGGCGUAUUAGUUAGUUGGUGAGGUAAUGGCUCACCAAGACGAUGAUACGUAGCCGACCUGAGAGGGUGAUCGGCCACAUUGGGACUGAGACACGGCCCAAACUCCUACGGGAGGCAGCAGUAGGGAAUCUUCCGCAAUGGACGAAAGUCUGACGGAGCAACGCCGCGUGAGUGAAGAAGGUUUUCGGAUCGUAAAACUCUGUUGUCAGAGAAGAACAAGUCGGAGAGUAACUGCUCCGGCCUUGACGGUAUCUGACCAGAAAGCCACGGCUAACUACGUGCCAGCAGCCGCGGUAAUACGUAGGUGGCAAGCGUUGUCCGGAUUUAUUGGGCGUAAAGCGAGCGCAGGCGGUUCCUUAAGUCUGAUGUGAAAGCCCACGGCUCAACCGUGGAAGGUCAUUGGAAACUGGGGAACUUGAGUGCAGAAGAGGAGAGUGGAAUUCCAUGUGUAGCGGUGAAAUGCGUAGAUAUAUGGAGGAACACCAGUGGCGAAGGCGACUCUCUGGUCUGUAACUGACGCUGANGCUCGAAAGCGUGGGGAGCAAACAGGAUUAGAUACCCUGGUAGUCCACGCCGUAAACGAUGAGUGCUAAGUGUUGGAGGGUUUCCACCCUUCAGUGCUGCAGCUAACGCAUUAANCACUCNGCCUGGGGNNUANGNCCGCAAGGCUGAAACUCAAAGGAAUUGA